rnacentral:lncRNA from 1 species
AAUAUAAUUAAACAACCUACUGGGACAGAGGGAGUACUCUAUUUAUUCAUAUAUCGUAAUAUAGAAACUUAAAACAAUUUAAGAACUUGUUUAUAUUACUAACAUAUUAAGUUGACAAGUCUCUUGGACCUUGUAAUUAUUUCUUCUAAUGUUAGCUUUAGAGAGGUUAUAUUAGGCUGUGAUAACUGUAUGAUGAAGAUUGGAUCUUCGGGAGCGUUUUCAAUUUCAGAGUGAUUUUUGUAACAAGCUAUUCUACAAGAAAAAGUAAAGGGAGAGUAAAAAGAAUGCAGAACUUAUCAUCAAUAUAGCGUGUGUACCAGUGAAUCGAACAUUUGUUUGAUAAUUAAGGGGCGAUGUAUAUCAAUUUACCGGGGUCAGGUUGGGUAUAUAUGUGGAUGACACUGGUUUAACUGCAGGCAGCUGUUGGUGUUAGUAGCUGUGAAUGGCAUGUCCAACUUCUGCGGUCUGAGUCAUGUCUGUAUCUGUGAUAUGUCUUACUUUCGAGAGUAUAAGAAGUUAAGGAGUUAUAUAUUCUACCCCGAUAUAGAUCUUGACUGAAUUCUCUUUAUUAUGCAGAUCGAAAGGGCAAGUCUAUCAAUAUCUCAGCUAACUAAUACUUAAUAAUUAAUAAUUUUCUUACAAUCCUACAGUAUUAUGUAUCAGAGACUAUACUUCAUUUUCUGAUUAUAGAGACUAUAUUUUAUUACACGGAGUAGAUGCUUGUUAUAUAACCACAGCAAGGUAAUCUUCUGAGGUACGAAAAGGUGCAUGGAAUAAACUAAGAUGACAAAGGUAAGAUUAAAUAAAUAUUAGCCUUAAGGAGUGAAGAAAAGUGAUCAACUUUAGUUUAAAAAGGAGUGUACUUUCUGCGUUUCUUGAAAAUUUAUAAACACAAACAUUAAUCAUGGAGUAUCUUCCUACCACCUUUUGAGGGAAAAUUAGAUUCCAAUGACAUGCAUAUUUAUCACAUUAAGAGAUAAAGUCACUGAUUCAUCUAGUGGUGGUGGGUAGAUCAUGCAUGCAGUCAGUUUUAGAUUUAGUACAUCAUUACUAUUUUUUAUACUAUUAUUUUAUAUUAUAACGUAAACUAACCGAUGAUACACAAAUAAGUGACAAGCCACUAAGUUUAUAUAUAUUGCAGUCCAUUAUUAAAUUCUUGUCUGAAUGCAGAACUUUGAGAUAUAAUUUGUUAAUUACAAACUUCUAAUCUCUUAAGUCGUCAAAUUCCAACAAGUCCCAACCUUGUGGAUAAUGUUCAUCUCUUCUGCCAAUUAGAUGCAAGAUGAUUAAAGAUUUGAACUAAAUAAUAUUAAUCUGUUAAUCUAAUUUUAGCAAAAAUUUGAACAGACUAACAGGCCUUCAAUAAAGGAGAGACCGUGUAUAACUUCAUAUUUCAGACUCUUGAAGAUAUAUGAUGGCUGGUCUUGAGUUUUAAAAGAAAUUAAGGAUGCUUGAUUAUAUAUGUACAUGUUUGAUACAUCUAGAGGGGAGUAGUUUAUUUUGAAUCCCUAUGCUCAACUUUUGGAUGCUUUCCAAAGAUGAGAAUGUUGGUAUUACGAUUUACAAAUAACAAAGGCACAAAAGUUAUUCGUUUGCAAAACGAAUCACCAAGCAUAAAAAGUAGUGCUCUUUAAAUAGAUAUAUUGGAAUGAAGAUUUAUCUUUUUCCUUCUAAAGUAGAAAAGCUAUCUCUACUUUGCACAACUCUUACGUUAUUGGAUUAUACCUAAUUAUGAAUCACUUAUUUUUUUUUCACAGUGGUAGUUCUGAAUUUUUUACAGUCAACUUUAGGUGCGAGAACAUUUGAAUCAUAGUUACUAUAACAAUAACAUAUUGGUAUAUAGUAAAAUUUUAAAAUUUUGGCAACAAUUUCUUAAAACUUAACAUGCAUUAAAAGAAUCUAAAGUAUCUGUUUAUUUUUUUUUUAUUUUUACAUAUACAGAACCUCUUUAGUGUACAAAAAUAACAGAGAAAAUAUAUGGAUACUCAUUCUUCAAUCAAACAUAUACACACAGAUUGGGGAGGAGCUUAGAGCAUCUCCAAUGGGGGUGCCAAAAUGCCAUGUGGCAUGACAUGGCAUAACAAUCUUUUUGGCUACCCAUUGGAGUGAUAAGGAUGCCAAGCAAAGUUGCCAAUUUUUGGCACCCUUUGGCACCCUCCCAAAAUGGGAAAAAUUCAUUUAUUGUCAUAAAAGCUUUAAUAUCUUAUCUAAUUUUAGAGAAACAAAAUUAUAGUAUUUUUGACAACUUUAGUUGCCAACCAUUGGAGUGAAUAUUGAUAAGAGGGGUGCCAAAAGUAACUUAAAAGAAAGAGAAAAUAAAAUAUUGAUAUUUUUGAUGAAUAAGCAUGUUUAGCAACUUUGGUUGGCACCUCACAUUGGAGAUGCUCUUAUACUGUAACUUCAUUUACUUUCAGGAAGUAGUAAAAAAAAUUAAUUGAAUAUAAAUUGUUAGCUUCGCAAAUAUCUCGUUCAUAGAGAUAUUAAUCCCACCUCUGUUUACAUGUAUCUUAGGGUGAAAGCUUGUACAUGACUGCU